rnacentral:rRNA from 1 species
GUUGAACGCUAGCGGGGUGCUUUACACAUGCAAGUCGAACGAGUGGAGGACGGGUGAGAUAUAUAUGGGAACGUGCCCAGUAGCGGGGGAUAACUACUGGAAAGAGGGGAUAAUACCGCAUACGAUUGGGGCGGACGCUAGCGGAUUAGCUAGUGGGUGGGGGAAAGGGUCACCAAGGCAACGAUCCGUAGCUGGUUGGAGAGGACGACCAGCCACACUGGGACUGAGACACGGCCCAUACUCCUACGGGAGGCAGCAGUGGGGAAUUUUGGACAAUGGGGGAAACCCUGAUCCAGCCAUCCCGCGUGUAUGAGAAGGCCUUCGGGUUGUAAAGUACUUUUGGCAGAGAAGCGGUAUCUGCAGAAUAAGCACCGGCUAACUACGUGCCAGCAGCCGCGGUAAUUC